GUCCUGGUCACCAGCAAGUUGAACAUGAGCCAGCUGUGGCCAAAAGGGCCAGUGGCACCUGGCUUGUAGCAGCAGUAGUGUGGCCAGCAGGACCAGGGCAGUGAUGGUGCUCCUUUGCUGGGCACUGGUGAGGCCACACC